rnacentral:tRNA from 1 species
GGGGAUUUAGCUCAGUCAGCAGCAUAAGCACCUGCCUUGCAAGCAGGUGGUCGUGAGUUCAAUCCCCG